GUCCUUUAGGUAAUUAUAAUUUAAGGUCUAACCUGCCCAUUGAUAAGUUAAAAGGCCGCAGUAAUUUGACUGUGCAAAGGUAGCAUAAUCAUUAGUUUUUUAAUUAAAAGCUUGUAUGAAUGGUUGGACGAGAUAAAAUCUGUCUCUUUAUAAAAAAUAGAAUUUAAUUUUUAAGUUAAAAAGCUUAAAUUUAUAUAAAAGACGAGAAGACCCUAUAGAUCUUUAUAUAAUUUUUUUUUGUAUUAAUAAAGAAAUUUUAAUUUAUUAAAAAAAAUUAUAUUUUAUUGGGGUAAUAAAAAGAUUAAUUAAAUUCUUUUAUAAAAAACAAUAAUUAUUGAUUAUAUGAUCCAUUAUUAAUGAUUAUAAGAUUAAGUUACCUUAGGGAUAACAGCGUAAUUUUUUUAGAGAGUUCUUAUCAAUAAAAAAGUUUGCGA
rnacentral:rRNA from 1 species